CAGUCGCCGCGGUAAAACGUAGGUCCCGAGCGUUGUCCGGAUUUAUUGGGCGUAAAGCGAGCGCAGGCGGUUAGAUAAGUCUGAAGUUAAAGGCUGUGGCUUAACCAUAGUAUGCUUUGGAAACUGUUUAACUUGAGUGCAGAAGGGGAGAGUGGAAUUCCAUGUGUAGCGGUGAAAUGCGUAGAGAUGUGGAGGAACACCAGUGGCGAAGGCGACUCUCUGGUCUGUAACUGACGCUGAGGAGCGAAAGCGUGGGGAGCGAACAGGAUUAGAUACCCCGUAGUACCUGUCUCUUAUACAC
rnacentral:rRNA from 1 species